CGGAAUGCCCCUGCGCGGCAGGAAGUGGUUGUGUAGACGGAGAGACGCCCUCGCAGGUUUUCGAAACGGCGACGGUUUGCGUUGUUUACGGUUGUUCGAAUCCAUAAACCUGAGUAAACACGUUAAACUUUUAUCGAGUACCACAGGUUGGUUUUCACAGCGAAGAAAAUGAAAGAAGCUGACCAAAAACGCCACUUGGUGUCGGAUAAGCCUCGUGAGUGACCACCUCGUUAAAGCUGUGGAUGCAGACAGAGGAUGAGAAGCUGAUGGGUCUGCAGCACGAGGACUCCUUCUGAUUGGAAGGCUUUCUCUGACUGAAUCCCAGCUGACCACACAGCCUCACCUGAUAGGACCUCACCUGAUGGGACUGUCAGCUGUGACCAGUUUGUAAGAUAAAGUUCCCACGCUGCAGAGACAGAUGAGUUAAUCUGAGCCUGUGAGCUGGAGACGAUGGAUUCUGCCUCAUCAACCAGGGAGAUGAUGUUACACCAAACAGGAGCCAUGUUUACUUCCUCUCCUCCAGGACUCAGACUUCAGCUCAUAAAGAACAGCAUGAAGAUAUCUGCAGAAGAUGAGUGUCUUCAGCUGCUGUCGUCUUCUCCUCCCGCAGAGACAAGAACACGUGUGAAUCACAGAGACUGAUCAAUAAAUCUAUUUUUCCUUUCCUAAGCUAUCUGCAUUCAUUUUUGAUAUCUAUACUAUAUUUUUUGAUCAAUUUUGGUGCCUUACUAUACUACGACUUUUUUUGAUGCUUUUUAAUGCCUUACUAUACUAUGGCAUUUUUUUGAUGCCUAUACUAUGACUUUUUUCGAUGGUUUUUGACGCUUUUAAAAUUUUUUGAUGUUUUUUCAUGCCUUACUGUACCAUGACAUUUUUUGAAGGUUUUUUAAGCCUUUCCGUACUAUAACAUUUUUUGAUGUUUUUUCUUUGAAGGUUUUUUUAAGCCUUUCUGUACCAUGACAUUUUUUGAUUAACACUACUACUACACACACCUUACUAUACUGUGAUGCCAUCUUACCUUUGUUGUCCAGAGACACACACUCACACUUCCACGCAGUGUUUGUGAGUUUAGUUAGAUUUUGUGUUUCAUUUUAGUAUUUUCCUUUCAAACAGAGCAAUAUUAGUACUCAAAUCCCAUCUAUUACUGCAUACACAGUCCUGUUUAUAUUGUUCAUAUUGUUUAUAAUUUUUACAUUGUUAAAUAUUAUCUUAUUUCAUAUUUUCUUAAUAUUAUACCUUUUUUUUUUGCUGCUGCAACACUGAAUUUUCAGAGGAUUAUCUUACUCAA